rnacentral:rRNA from 1 species
AAGUCUAGCCUGCCCACUGAUUGAUUUAAAGGGCCGCGGUAAUUUGACCGUGCGAAGGUAGCAUAGUCAGUAGUCUUUUAAUUGAAGGCUUGAAUGAAAGGUUGGACGAGGGAUGAGCUGUCUCCUUUAUGUAGUUUGAAUUUAACUUUUGAGUGAAAAGGCUCAAAUUAUUUAGUGGGACGAUAAGACCCUAUAAAACUUUAUAUAAGUUUAAUUUGGCUUACAAUUUGAGUGAAAAGUAGCUUUAUUAGGCUUAUAUUUCGUUGGGGAGAUGUAGAUAUAAUGUGUAACUGUCUAUUUAAUUUAAUAAUUAUAAUUAGUGUGUGAUCCUUCUUUGUGGAUUAAAAGUAUAAGUUACUUUAGGGAUAACAGCGUGAUUUUCUUUGAGAGUUCUUAUCGACAAGAGUAGUUGCGACCUCGAUGUUGAAUUAAAAUUUCAGUUAGGUGUAGCCGUCUAGCUGGUAGGUCUGUUCGACCUUUAAAAUUUUACAUGAU